rnacentral:lncRNA from 1 species
GUCCUUGUUUCCUUUCUCAUUCAGCCCUAGGUCACAAUGGCAGCUCCAAAAUAUAUCUGGUCCCUUCAUCCAGGACAAGCCAAAAACUCUUACAGGUGGACUAAUUCAAAUGGGUCUCCUGGUUGGAAGUUAGAAAAGAUCCAAGAGGAGGAAGACCCAGGUGUCCCUCUGCCUGGAUAUCAACAGUAUCUUCACAGAUAUGAGUGCUGAGGAAGUCUGGAAGGCUCUGCAUGAAGAACCAAAGUCUCAACGUGAGGGCUGCUCACCCUCUAAGCAGGUCCUCUGGUUGAAACAUCCUGCUACUGCACCCCAGCUGCAGCGAGUGGGUCACCGGCAGAGACAGCUGCGUGCAAUGCAUCACCAGGGGAAGCAGCACCAGUGUACAGCCAGCCUCCUCCUGGCCACGAAGGACCUCACCGACCUCAACGAUACUUGUGGAACUGAAGGACCAACUCGCUACUUCCAUUGCAUUUGGGACAAGAAAAUGGCGACAUCAUGCUUGACGCGCAUUAUUCUGUGAUCUGGCCUUGGGGUGGAGGUGCUACUUGUCCACUUGCAGGUGCUCCAUCUUUUUCAUAGAAUGCCCAGAUUGCUCCCCAAAAAUGAAGCUUUGAAGCACCCCUGCUCUUAUAUUUAAAGGAGGAACACGUGCAGGUCCUGACUUAUCCAACUGUCCCAUGGGAAGUAAAUCUCUUUCUGAAAUUUAUUGCCAAGAAGUUCAAAUGUCAUGGGACAACUGACAAAUAUUAAACUCAGCUAUUUUAAAGCAUUUCUUCC